rnacentral:rRNA from 1 species
AUGGACGCAAGUCUGAUGGAGCAACGCCGCGUGAGUGAAGAAGGGUUUCGGCUCGUAAAGCUCUGUUGGUAGUGAAGAAAGAUAGAGGUAGUAACUGGCCUUUAUUUGACGGUAAUUACUUAGAAAGUCACGGCUAACUACGUGCCAGCAGCCGCGGUAAUACGUAGGUGGCAAGCGUUGUCCGGAUUUAUUGGGCGUAAAGCGAGUGCAGGCGGUUCAAUAAGUCUGAUGUGAAAGCCUUCGGCUCAACCGGAGAAUUGCAUCAGAAACUGUUGAACUUGAGUGCAGAAGAGGAGAGUGGAACUCCAUGUGUAGCGGUGGAAUGCGUAGAUAUAUGGAAGAACACCAGUGGCGAAGGCGGCUCUCUGGUCUGCAACUGACGCUGAGGCUCGAAAGCAUGGGUAGCGAACAGGAUUAGAUACCCUGGUAGUCCAUGCCGUAAACGAUGAGUGCUAAGUGUUGGGAAGUUUCCGCCUCUCAGUGCUGCAGCUAACGCAUUAAGCACUCCGCCUGGGGAGUACGACCGCAAGGUUGAAACCCAAAGGAAUUGACGGGGGCCCGCACAAGCGGUGGAGCAUGUGGUUUAAUUCGAAGCAACGCGAAGAACCUUA